CAAUAAGUACCCCGCCUGGGGAGUACGACCGCAAGGUUGAAACUCAAAGGAAUUGACGGGGGCCCGCACAAGCGGUGGAGUAUGUGGUUUAAUUCGACGCAACGCGAAGAACCUUACCAGGUCUUGACAUNGNNGGACAGAACUAGAGAUAGUUCCUCUUCUUCGGAAGCCAGAAAACAGGUGGUGCACGGUUGUCGUCAGCUCGUGUCGUGAGAUGUUGGGUUAAGUCCCGCAACGAGCGCAACCCCUAUCUUAUGUUGCCAGCACUUUGGGUGGGGACUCAUGAGAGACUGCCGCAGACAAUGCGGAGGAAGGCGGGGANGACGUCAAAUCAUCAUGCCCCUUAUGACCUGGGCUACACACGUACUACAAUGGGAGUUAAUAGACGGAAGCGAGAUCGCGAGAUGGAGCAAACCCGAGAAACACUCUCUCAGUUCGGAUCGUAGGCUGCAACUCGCCUACGUGAAGUCGGAAUCGCUAGUAAUCGCAGGUCAGCAUACUGCGGUGAAUACGUUCCCGGGCCUUGUACACACCGCCCGUCACACCACGAAAGUCGGAAGUGCCCAAAGCCGGUGGGGUAACCUUCGGGAGCCAGCCGUNUAA
rnacentral:rRNA from 1 species